UGGGUAAAACGAUAGAGAUUACAUUACCAAUUUUCAGGAUGUCAAUAUAUUGUGCAAUCGAACUGAAAAUAUGAAUGUAAGAAAACAACCUCCUCUGUUUUCUUCAAGAAGGUAGCACCCAGUUUUACAUGGUAUCUAAGCCUGCAUGUAAACUCGCUCUUGUCAAUGACUCUAGAAAGCUUACCGUUCUAAUAACCCAAAGGAGACUGCAGAAAUAGAUCAUACAUGCACAGUUAACACAAAAAUAAUACCUUUAACAAUAUAG
rnacentral:lncRNA from 1 species